CAAUCGAACCCGGAGAUAGCUGGUUCUCCUCGAAAUAGCUUUAGGGCUAGCCUCGUAUUAGUUUAGCGGAGGUAGAGCACUGAAUUCCUAAGGGGGCGUCAAAGCUUACCAAGGGAUAUCAAACUCCGAAUGCCGCAUAAAUGAUGUACGGGAGUCAGACUGCACGAGAUAAGUUGGGCAGUCGAAAGGGAAAGAGCCCAGACCUUCAGUUAAGGUCCCAAAGUGCGCGUUAAGUGGAAAAGGAUGUGGGAUUUCAAAGACAACCAGGAUGUUGGCUCAGAAGCAGCCAUUCAUUCAAAGAGUGCGUAAUAGCUCACUGGUCGAGUGGUCAUGCGCCGAAGAUGUACCGGGGCUCAAACGCGCCGCCGAAGCAUGGGAUUCGCGCAAGCGAGUGGUAGAGGAGCAUUGAAUCAGGGCAGAAGCUGGAGCGAGAGCACGAGUGGACUUGAUUCAAGAGAGAAUGCCGGUAUGAGUAGCGAGAGGCAUGCGAGAAACAUGCCCGUCGAAAGCCCAAGGUUUCCUGGGGAAGGUUCAUCCGCCCAGGGUAAGUCGGGGCCUAAGCCGAGGACGAAUGUCGUAGGCGAUGGACAACUGGUGGAGAUUCCAGUACCACCUUCAAGAGCGAAGCGUUGACACAGAAGGAUAGCAUGAGCCGGUUGAUGGUAGAGCCGGUCCAAGCGGUUAGGCUGGUAUGUAGUGAAGUACGCAUACCGAAAGGCGGAGCCGUGAUGGGGAGCGAAAAACAAGUAGUGAAGCAUGUGAAUCCAGGCUGGCAAGAAAAGGCGCUAGUAAUGUUGAGGGUGCCCGUACCGCAAACCGACGCAGGUGGGCGAGGAGAGAAUCCUAAGACGAACGAGAGAACCCUUGUUAAGGAACUCGGCAAAAUGACCCCGUAACUUCGGGAGAAGGGGUGCCUCGAGAGAGGCCGCAGAGAAUAGGCCCAAGCGACUGUUUACCAAAAACACAGGUCUGUGCGAAGUAGAGAUACGACGUAUACGGGCUGACGCCUGCCCAGUGCCGGAAGGUUAAGGGGAAGUGUUAGGUUUAGGCCGAAGCACGGAACUUAAGCCCCGGUGAACGGCGGCCGUAACUAUAACGGUCCUAAGGUAGCGAAAUUCCUUGUCGGGUAAGUUCCGACCCGCACGAAUGGCGUAACGACUUGGGCGCUGUCUCAACAAGGGACUCGGUGAAAUUGAAGUAUGGGUGAAGAUGCCCAUUACCCGCGACUGGACGGAAAGACCCCGUAGAGCUUUACUGUAGCUUAUCAUUGGAAUUUGGUAACGGAUGUACAGGAUAGGUGGGACGCUGAGAAGGCAGGACGUCAGUUCUGCUGGAGCGGCCGUUGGGAUACCACUCUUCUGUUACUGAAUUUCUAACAACGUGCAAUGAGCUUGGCGAUGGACAGUGAUAGGUGGGCAGUUUGACUGGGGCGGUCGCCUCCCAAAGAGUAACGGAGGCGCCCAAAGGUACGCUCAGAUUGGAUGGAAACCAAUCGCCGAGUGCAAAUGCAGAAGCGUGCUUGACUGUGAGAGCAACAACUCGAACAGGGACGAAAGUCGGGAUUAGUGAUCCGGCGGUGCCGAAUGGAAGGGCCGUCGCUCAACGGAUAAAAGCUACCCUGGGGAUAACAGGCUGAUCUCGCCCAAGAGUUCACAUCGACGGCGAGGUUUGGCACCUCGAUGUCGGCUCAUCGCAUCCUGGAGCUGGAUUCGGUUCCAAGGGUUGGGCUGUCCGCCCAUUAAAGCGGUACGCGAGCUGGGUUCAGAACGUCGUGAGACAGUUCGGUCCCUAUCUGUUGUGGGCGAAGGAGAUUUGAGGAGAGCUGCCCUUAGUACGAGAGGACCGGGGUGGACCUACCGCUGGUGCACCAGUUGUAUCGCCAGAUGCAUAGCUGGGUAGCUAAGUAGGGAAGGGAUAAGCGCUGAAAGCAUCUAAGCACGAAGCCUACUCCAAGAUGAGAUCUCCCAUUCGCAAGAAGUAAGACCCCUUGAAGACGACGAGGUAGAUAGGCCAGGGAUGGAAGUGCAGCGAUGCAUGGAGUUGACUGGUACUAAUCGGUCGAGGACUUAAUCAG
rnacentral:rRNA from 1 species